rnacentral:misc_RNA from 1 species
UACGGAGGGUGCAAGCGUUGUCCGGAUUUAUUGGGUUUAAAGGGUGCGUAGGCGGUUUAAUAAGUCAGUGGUGAAAGUCUGUAGCUUAACUAUAGAAUUGCCAUUGAUACUGUUAGACUUGAGUACAGUUGAGGUAGGCGGAAUUUAUGGUGUAGCGGUGAAAUGCAUAGAUACCAUAAAGAACUCCGAUAGCGAAGGCAGCUUACUAAACUGUUACUGACGCUGAGGCACGAAAGCAUGGGUAGCAAACAGG